ACGGGGGAGGCAAGCGUUGUUCGGAAUUACUGGGCGUAAAGGGCUCGUAGGCGGCCAACUAAGUCGGACGUGAAAUCCCCAGGCUCAACCUGGGAACUGCGUCGGAUACUGGAUGGCUUGAAUUCGGGAGAGGGAUGCAGAAUUCCAGGUGUAGCGGUGAAAUGCGUAGAGAUUAGGAGGAAUACCGGUGGCGAAGGCGGCCACCUGGGAUGUAACUGACGCUGAGUCACGAAAGCGUGGGUAGCAAACAGGA
rnacentral:rRNA from 1 species